AGUGAAAUGACCGAACUUAGGUAUAAGACUGUAAAUCUUAUUAUGGAUAUUUUCCUUUCACCA
rnacentral:tRNA from 1 species